GAUGAACGCUGGCGGCGUGCCUAAUACAUGCAAGUCGAGCGAACGGACGAGAAGCUUGCUUCUCUGAUGUUAGCGGCGGACGGGUGAGUAACACGUGGAUAACCUACCUAUAAGACUGGGAUAACUUCGGGAAACCGGAGCUAAUACCGGAUAAUAUUUUGAACCGCAUGGUUCAAAAGUGAAAGACGGUCUUGCUGUCACUUAUAGAUGGAUCCGCGCUGCAUUAGCUAGUUGGUAAGGUAACGGCUUACCAAGGCAACGAUGCAUAGCCGACCUGAGAGGGUGAUCGGCCACACUGGAACUGAGACACGGACCAGACUCCUACGGGAGGCAGCAGUAGGGAAUCUUCCGCAAUGGGCGAAAGCAUGACGGAGCAACGCCGCGUGAGUGAUGAAGGUCUUCGGAUCGUAAAACUCUGUUAUUAGGGAAGAACAUAUGUGUAAGUAACUGUGCACAUCUUGACGGUACCUAAUCAGAAAGCCACGGCUAACUACGUG
rnacentral:rRNA from 1 species